rnacentral:lncRNA from 1 species
AUGAGGAUUCCUCCUCCUGCCCUGGGGACUCCUUGUCCCUCUCUGACAGCUCAGAGGCAGCAGCUGGGCCAUCACUGCCCUGGGAGGAGUGUCCAGAGGGGUGUCCAGAGUGUCCAGAGUGUCCAGAGGAGUGUCCAGAGGGGUGUCCAGAGUGUCCAGAGUGUCCAGAGGAGUGUUCAGAGUGUCCAGAGGGGUGUCCAGAGGGGUGCCCAGACUGUCCAGAGGAGUGUCCAGAGUGUUCAGGGUGUCCAGAGGAGUGUCCAGAGUGUUCAGUGUGUCCAGAGUGUCCAGAGGGGUGUCCAGAGUGUCCAGAGUGUCCAGAGGGGUGUCCAGAGUGUCCAGAGNGUCCAGAGGGGUGUCCAGAGGGGUGUCCAUCCUUCCCAGCCGUGCUCCAGGGCUGCUCCAGCCCCUUUCCCAGCCCCUCCUCUGGAGCUGCCUGUGCUGGCUGUCCCCUGCUCCGGGGCCCUGGUGCCUCCUGCUCGGUGUCCCUGUCCCCCCUGGCCAGCGGCUCCCCAGACAGGGAGCUCGGGGAAGCGGCUCCGGGAUCCGCGUGUCCCACGGACUGGGAGUGCUGGGAUGGACUGGGAAGGGCUGGGCCCCUCAGGGCUGCGCUCCCAGCGAUGUGGGAAGGCUCUGAUGGCUCCAGGGAUGCUCCAGAAACAUCCGGGAUUCCUCUGGAAAGGGCAAGAAAAGUGAAUUUCUGAUCAUUUCUCUGAUUUCAACAUCUCUGCCUU